rnacentral:rRNA from 1 species
GACGAACGCUGGCGGCGUGCUUAACACAUGCAAGUCGAACGGAAAGGCCCUGCUUUUGUGGGGUGCUCGAGUGGCGAACGGGUGAGUAACACGUGAGUAACCUGCCCUUGACUUUGGGAUAACUUCAGGAAACUGGGGCUAAUACCGGAUAGGAGCUCCUGCUGCAUGGUGGGCGUUGGAAAGUUUCGGCGGUUGGGGAUGGACUCGCGGCUUAUCAGCUUGUUGGUGGGGUAGUGGCUUACCAAGGCUUUGACGGGUAGCCGGCCUGAGAGGGUGACCGGCCACAUUGGGACUGAGAUACGGCCCAGACUCCUACGGGAAGCAGCAGUGGGGAAUAUUGCACAAUGGGCGGAAGCCUGAUGCAGCAACGCCGCGUGCGGGAUGACGGCCUUCGGGUUGUAAACCGCUUUCGCCUGUGACGAAGCGUGAGUGAAGGUAAUGGGUAAAGAAGCACCGGCUAACUACGUG